rnacentral:rRNA from 1 species
CAGCCGCCGCGGGAAUACGAAGGGGGCUAGCGUUGCUCGGAAUUACUGGGCGUAAAGGGCGCGUAGGCGGACAGUUCAGUCGGGGGUGAAAGCCCGGGGCUCAACCUCGGAAUUGCCUUCGAUACUGGCUGUCUUGAGUAUGAGAGAGGUGUGUGGAACUCCGAGUGUAGAGGUGAAAUUCGUAGAUAUUCGGAAGAACACCAGUGGCGAAGGCGACACACUGGCUCAUUACUGACGCUGAGGCGCGAAAGCGUGGGGAGCGAACAGGAUUAGAUACCCGGGUAGUCCCUGUCUCUUAUAC